rnacentral:rRNA from 1 species
GCCGCGUGAAGGAUGACGGCCUAUGGGUUGUAAACUUCUUUUGUUUGGGAGAAAACCCCUGUACGUGUACAGGGCUGAUAGUACCAAAAGAAUAAGGAUCGGCUAACUCCGUGCCAGCAGCCGCGGUAAUACGGAGGAUCCAAGCGUUAUCCGGAUUUAUUGGGUUUAAAGGGUGCGUAGGCGGAAUAAUAAGUCAGUGGUGAAAGCCUGUCGCUUAACGAUAGAACUGCCAUUGAUACUGUUAAUCUAGAGUCCGUUUGAAGUGGGCGGAAUGUGCAGUGUAGCGGUGAAAUGCUUAGAUAUUGCACAGAACACCGAUUGCGAAGGCAGCUCACUAAACCGGUACUGACGCUGAGGCACGAAAGCGUGGGGAUCAAACAGGAUUAGAUACCCUGGUAGUCCACGCCGUAAACGUUGAUAACUCGUUGUUAGCGAUAUACUGUUAGCGACUAAGCGAAAGCAUUAAGUUAUCCACCUGGGAAGUACGACCGCAAGGUUGAAACUCAAAGGAAUUGACGGGGGCCCGCACAAGCGGAGGAGCAUGUGGUUUAAUUCGAUGAUACGCGAGGAACCUUACCAGGGCUUGAAAGUUAGUGACAGAUGGUGAAAGCCAUUCUUCAGCAAUGACACAAAACUAGGUGCUGCAUGGCUGUCGUCAGCUCGUGCCGGGAGGUGUUGGGUU